rnacentral:rRNA from 1 species
AUUGAACGCUGGCGGCAGGCCUAACACAUGCAAGUCGAGCGGAGCGGCGGACGGGUGCGUAAUGCCUAGGAAUCUGCCUGGUAGUGGGGGAUAGCGUCCGGAACUGGGCGCUAAUACCACAUCCUAUCAGAUGAGCCUAGGUCGGAUUAGGUAGUGGGUGGGGUAAGGGCUUACCAAGGCGACGAGCCGUAACUGGUCUGAGAGGAUGAUCAGUCACACUGGAACUGAGACACGGUCCAGACUCCUACGGGAGGCAGCAGUGGGGAAUAUUGGACAAUGGGCGAAAGCCUGAUCCAGCCAUGCCGCGUGUGUGAAGAAGGUCUUCGGAUUGUAAAGCACUUUAAGUUGGGAGGCGUUACCAACAGAAUAAGCACCGGCUAACUUCGUGCCAGCAGCCGCGGUAAUAC